AAAUGAAUAGACGGGGGCCCGCACAAGCGGUGGAGCAUGUGGUUUAAUUCGAUGCAACGCGAAAAACCUUACCUGGGCUUGAACUGUGGUCGCAAACUCAUGAAAGUGAGUCCUCCUUCGGGACGGCCAUAGAGGUGCUGCAUGGCUGUCGUCAGCUCGUGCCGUGAGGUGUUGGGUUAAGUCCCGCAACGAGCGCAACCCUUGCCCUUAGUUGCCAACAGGUUAUGCUGGGAACUCUAAGGGGACUGCCCCAGACAAUGGGGAGGAAGGUGGGGACGACGUCAAGUCAUCAUGGCCCUUACGUCCAGGGCUACACACGUGCUACAAUGGCCGGUACAAUGGGAAGCAAUACCGCGAGGUGGAGCAAAUCCUAAAAACCGGUCUCAGUUCAGAUUGCAGUCUGCAACUCGACUGCAUGAAGUCGGAAUCGCUAGUAAUCGUGGAUCAGCAUGCCACGGUGAAUACGUUCCCGGGCCUUGUACACACCGCCCGU
rnacentral:rRNA from 1 species